rnacentral:rRNA from 1 species
ACUCAAAGGAAUUGACGGGGACCCGCACAAGCGGUGGAGCAUGUGGAUUAAUUCGAUACUAACCGAAGAACCUUACCCAGACUUGACAUCGAUGGCAAAUCCUAGAAAUAGGAUCCUCGGCCACAAGCCGACCUGAAGACACCUGUUGCAUGGCUGUCGUCAGCUCGUGCCGUGAGGUGUUUGGUUAAGUCCAGCAACGAGCGCAACCCUCAUCUCGUGUUACCAGCAAGUAAAGUUGGGGACUCACGAGAAACCGCCGGCGUAAGCCGGAGGAAGGUGAGGAUGACGUCAAGUCAGCAUGGCGGUUACGUCUGGGGCUUCACACAUGCUACAAUGGGCGCAACAAAGGGCAGCAAUAUCGCGAGAUGGAGCUAAUCCCAAAAAUACGCCCCCAGUUCAGAUUGCAGUCUGCAACUCGACUGCAUGAAGGCGGAAUCGCUAGUAACCGCAGGUCAGCUAUACUGCGGUGAAUACGUUCCCGGGUCUUGUACACACCGCCCGU